rnacentral:rRNA from 1 species
AUUCCAGCUCCAAUAGCGUAUAUUAAUGUUGUUGCAGUUAAAAAGCUCGUAGUUGGAUUUCUGCGUCGCGCAGCUCGGUCCGCCGCACUGCGGUGCGACUGUGGUUGGAGCGUCGCUUCUUUGUGGGGACUACUGGUGUCAUUAAUUUGAUGUCUUUAGGAACUGCAUCGUUUACUGUGAAAAAAUUAGAGUGUUCAAAGCAGGCUUAUGCCGUGAAUACAUUAGCAUGGAAUAAUAAGAUAGGACUUUGGUUCUAUUUUGUUGGUUUCUAGGAAUUAAGUAAUGGUUGAUAGGGAUAGUUGGGGGUGCUAGUAUUCAGCGGCCAGAGGUGAAAUUCUUGGAUUCGCUGAAGACUAACUUAUGCGAAAGCAUUCACCAAGGAUGUCUUCAUCG